rnacentral:rRNA from 1 species
GUGAGGAAUUUUGCGCAAUGGCCGCAAGGCUGACGCAGCAACGCCGCGUGGGUGAUGAAGGCCUUCGGGUCGUAAAGCCCUGUCAGGUGGGAAGAAAGGCCUGGAGAGGAAAGGUUUCAGGUUUGACGGUACCACCAGAGGAAGCACCGGCUAACUCCGUGCCAGCAGCCGCGGUAAUACGGAGGGUGCGAGCGUUAUUCGGAAUUACUGGGCGUAAAGCGCGUGUAGGCGGGGGGACAAGUCUGAUGUGAAAGCCCUGGGCUUAACCUGGGAAGCGCAUUGGAAACUGUGUUUCUUGAGUACUGGAGAGGAAGGGGGAAUUCCCGGUGUAGAGGUGAAAUUCGUAGAGAUCGGGAGGAAUACCAGUGGCGUAGGCGCCCUUCUGGACGGUAACUGACGCUGAGACGCGAAAGCGUGGGGAGCAAACAGGAUUAGAAACCCGGGUAGUCC